rnacentral:rRNA from 1 species
GACGAACGCUGGCGGCGUGCUUAACACAUGCAAGUCGAACGAAGAGCGAUGGAAGCUUGCUUCUAUCAAUCUUGGUGGCGAACGGGUGAGUAACGCGUAAUCAACCUGCCCUUCAGAGGGGGACAACAGUUGGAAACGACUGCUAAUACCGCAUACGAUCUAAUCUCGGCAUCGAGGAUAGAUGAAAGGUGGCCUCUACAUGUAAGCUAUCACUGAAGGAGGGGAUUGCGUCUGAUUAGCUAGUUGGAGGGGUAACGGCCCACCAAGGCGAUGAUCAGUAGCCGUCUGAGGGGGUAGAAAGGCCCAAUUGGGACUGAGAAACGGCCCAAGCUCCUAGGGGGGGAAGAGGGGGGGAAUCUUCGGAAAUGGAGGAAAGUUUGCAGGAGCAAGCCCGGGGGGGGGAGGACGGCCUUCGGGUGUAAAAGCUCUGUUAAUCGGGAAAAAGGGCCUUCUUGGAAAUAGGGAAAAGGUUUGAGGGUACCGGAAAAAAAAGCCCCGGCUAACUACGU